UGGGGAAUCUUGGACAAUGGGGGCAACCCUGAUCCAGCAAUGCCGCGUGUGGGAUGAAGGCCUUCGGGUUGUAAACCACUUUUGGCGGGGGCGAAAUAUCGAGUGCUAAUACCAUUCGGUGAUGACGGUACCCGCAGAAUAAGCACCGGCUAACUACGUGCCAGCAGCCGCGGUAAUACGUAGGGUGCAAGCGUUAAUCGGAAUUACUGGGCGUAAAGCGUGCGCAGGCGGUUAGGUAAGACAGGUGUGAAAUUCCCGGGCUCAACCUGGGAACUGCAUUUGUGACUGCCUGACUAGAGUGCGGCAGAGGGGAGUGGAAUUCCGCGUGUAGCAGUGAAAUGCGUAGAUAUGCGGAGGAACACCGAUGGCGAAGGCAACUCCCUGGGCCUGCACUGACGCUCAUGCACGAAAAGCGUGGGGAGCAAACAGGAUUAGAUACCCUGGUAGUCCACGCCCUAAACGAUGUCGACUAGUUGUUGGACGGGUUACUGUUCAGUAACGAAGCUAACGCGUGAAGUCGACCGCCUGGGGAGUAC
rnacentral:rRNA from 1 species